UACGGAGGGGGCUAGCGUUGUUCGGAAUUACUGGGCGUAAAGGGCGCGCAGGCGGCUGCUCAAGUCAGGCGUGAAAGGCCUGGGCUCAACCCGGGAAUUGCGCUUGAGACUGGGCUGGCUUGAGUGCGGGAGAGGAUGGUGGAAUUCCACGUGUAGCGGUGAAAUGCGUAGAGAUGUGGAGGAACACCGAUGGCGAAGGCAGCCUUCUGGGCCAACACUGACGCUCAUGCACGAAAGCGUGGGGAGCAAACAGG
rnacentral:rRNA from 1 species